rnacentral:sRNA from 1 species
AUGGCUGUCGUCAGCUCGUGUCGUAAGAUGUUGGGUUAAGUCCCGCAACGAGCGCAACCCCUAUCCCAUGUUGCCAGCGGGUAAUGCCGGGGACUCGUAGGAGACUGCCGGUGCCAAACCGGAGGAAGGUGGGGAUGACGUCAAGUCAUCAUGCCCCUUACGUCCAGGGCUGCACACAUGCUACAAUGGCCGGUACAAAGGGUUGCUACUUCGCGAGGAGACGCCAAUCCCAGAAAGCCGGUCUCAGUUCGGAUCGCAGUCUGCAACUCGACUGCGUGAAGUCGGAGUCGCUAGUAAUCGCAGAUCAGCAUUGCUGCGGUGAAUACGUUCCCGGGCCUUGUACACACCGCCCGUCACACCACGAAAGUUGGUAACACCCGAAGCCGGUGGCCCAACCCUCUGGGAGGGAGCCGUCGAAGGUGGGAUCAGCGAUUGGGGUGAAGUCGUAACAAGGUAGCCGUACCGGAAGGUGCGGCUGGAUCACCUCCUUUCUAAGGAGCUCACUGCCUGGAAUUAUCACAAUUCCAGGAACUCCUACGUCGAUCACUGGUCAGCUGGCAUUCGGCCAAUUCCGACCCCGCUCAGCCUCGUGCUGAACGGCACCACCGGGACCCGGAUUGCCGGCGUGCGCGUCACUGUUCCGUUUUGAGGGAGCGGUCGCUCGGGCUUCUCGCCCGGAGGCUGCUACCUCGAGGCCAGAUCCGCCCCCGCCGCCCCGCAUUGCGGGGCUGGCGCGCGGACGACUUCAACGCCCCUUGAGAACCGCAGAGCGAGCACGAGCAUCUAGCAAACAGUGCAAGACGAAAAUCCCAAGCUAUAAAGAGCCAACGGUGGAUGCCUUGGCGCCAGAUGCCGAUGAAGGACGUGGGUGGCUGCGAAAAGCCACGGUGAGCUGCCGACCAAGCAUUGACCCGUGGAUCUCCGAAUGGGGAAACCCGG